rnacentral:misc_RNA from 1 species
GAUGAAGAACGCAGCGAAAUGCGAUAAGUAGUGUGAAUUGCAGAAUUCAGUGAAUCAUCGAAUCUUUGAACGCACAUUGCGCCCCUUGGUAUCCCGAGGGGCAUGCCUGUUCGAGCGUCAUUUCACCACUCAAGCCUGGCUUGGUGUUGGGCGACGUCCCCUUUGGGGACGCGCCUCGAAACGCUCGGCGGCGUGGCACCGGCUUUAAGCGUAGCAGAAUCUUUCGCUUUGGAGGUCGGGGCCCCGUCUGCCGGAAGACCUACUCGCAAGGUUGACCUCGGAUCAGGCAGGGAUACCCGCUGAACUUAAGCAUAUCAAUAAGCGGAGGA